rnacentral:rRNA from 1 species
GAUGAACGCUGGCGGCGUGCCUAAUACAUGCAAGUCGAGCGAACAGACGAGGAGCUUGCUCCUCUGACGUUAGCGGCGGACGGGUGAGUAACAAGUGGAUAACCUACCUAUAAGACUGGGAUAACUUCGGGAAACCGGAGCUAAUACCGGAUAAUAUAUUGAACCGCAUGGUUCAAUAGUGAAAGACGGUUUUGCUGUCACUUAUAGAUGGAUCCGCGCCGCAUUAGCUAGUUGGUAAGGUAACGGCUUACCAAGGCGACGAUGCGUAGCCGACCUGAGAGGGUGAUCGGCCACACUGGAACUGAGACACGGUCCAGACUCCUACGGGAGGCAGCAGUAGGGAAUCUUCCGCAAUGGGCGAAAGCCUGACGGAGCAACGCCGCGGGAGUGAUGAAGGUCUUCGGAUCGUAAAACUCUGUUAUUAGGGAAGAACAAAUGUGUAAGUAACUAUGCACGUCUUGACGGUACCUAAUCAGAAAGCCACGGCUAACUACGUG